GCACAGUCUGCUCUCCCCUGCAUCCUCUUUUAACAACAAUGAGGUAACAGUGGCUGCCAACAACGGCUGCCGGCUGUAUUUACUGCUGCUGAGAUGAGCACUUUAUCUGCUUUCUAUUUUAACUCUCACAACCGCCCCAUGAAGUAGACACCGCCAUUGCUAACUGCAUUGAAAAGAUGAGGAAACGGGCUCAGGGGUGAAGUUAAGGACGGAGCGGGGGUUCCAGCCCAGGAGGUCUGGCUCUCAGAUCCCACCCUCACUGCUUCUUUGCGCUGACCUCCCCUCUAAUCCCUCAACCAAAGCCUCGGACAACCCUUUCUCCCAGAAACAUCUCUAUUGAUUUUCUUUUUGAAGGCACCUAGGGAGCUUAUACAAACAAUUAAAGUCUCCUGCAGGCCAGGGGAGAGAAAUCUAGACUCUCCUGCUGAAGUCCCAGGGCUUGAGGGCCCUGGAGGAUCAGGGACUCCAGAAAGAAGGGUCAGGCAAGGAAAGGCAAGUUCAGGAUCCUGAGACCUGGACUCCAGACUGGUUCUGCCCUGAACGCCGUGGAUCUUGAGCAAACCCUUUCCCACCAGCUCCACAAGCUACAGCGUGAGGAUACUGUCACUCAGCAGAUGUUUAUCGCUGUCUCUGAUGCAGGGCUGGAGGCGUCAGGAAGAACAAAUAAUUCUAGUAAAAGGUUCUGGAGGUUUAAAGAAGUCUGCAAGGAUCAAGAAAAGCUUUGUGACAGUCGUACAGUUUAAGACAGGCUGUACAGCAAGGUUGGGGCCAGUGGUGUGGGGGAAGGAUGUUCCUGGAGGGGCGGUGAUGAUGAGGACGUGGAGGUGACACAGCCCAGGUCUGGCUCAUGGACUGAGGCCAUUCCAGAGGCCCAAAAGCUCCCUCUCAUUUCAAGCCCCCAGCAGGCCCCAAGACCUGGACGGCUCCGUCAGGGUGAUGCCACAGGAGGGGACACUGAGAGCCCAGGUUCCGGACACAGGCACGGAGCCUUUCCUGAGCUGCAGGAGAGAAAAGAACAGCAGAGAAAGAGAGGGCCUUGGAGGCGGAGCGAGCCCAGACAAGGGAGGGAGAAAGACUGCAGUGUGAGAGCGAGGACUGGCAGAUGGGUUAGCCUGUGCGGCAGGACCAACCACGCAAAACCUCAGCAGUCCACAAGAGUAAGUGUCAGCCUCAGCUGAUCGGUCCAGCUCGCCCGGCAGCUACAGUUCCAGAUCCCAGCAGGGUGUGUGCGUUUGGCAGGGCCCCAGCUCUAAGCUGGGCUUGCCUGGGGCGCUGUAGUGGGCUAGUCUGGACACAUCCUUCUCAUGGCCGUGGCAGAAUCCCAGAAGGCUUUGAGGCCCAGGCUCAGGCCUGGCACAGUGACUUCUGCCUAUCCUAAUGGCCAGAGCAAGUCAGAAGGUGGAACCCAGCAUCAAGGGGUGAGAAAAAUGCGCCCCCAGUGGGAGGGCACAGAGAGGGGCAAAGAUCAGGGCCCUCAGCACAGCCUACCUCAGUGGAUUAGGAUGCAUUAAUGCACUCAUUCAGAUGCUUACAUAUUAUAUUUACUAAUAUUCCACUCUGAAUAAGAGUUCGCUUUCAAAUUAGAAAAAUGAAAUUUGGGAGACUUUUUGUUCUGGCAUAUUUUUGUUUUUCAUUGUCUUUUUAAUCAAAAGAUACUAGGGCAGAUCUGUGUGAAAGGGAAGAGAAAUGGGAAGUAAACCUAUGAAACAUAGUUUUUUGUCAACAGAGCAGCCUCAGAAAUCCCUGUUUGGCUCACUCGCUUACAAGUGACCCUGCUUCUAAAGGUGCAGCACGUCCUCCAGCUCUGGCUGGCGUGGCUCCCGCGUGCGCGUGCAGCCGGGUGAGCACGGACUGAGGAACUCUUUCUAUGAGAAGAGCACUUGUUCCUUUUCCCACUUCAUGAAGGUGAAAUAGCAGAUCCCGGGACAGCUCGUGACACUUGAGCGGCAUGACGUGGGGAGCCACUGCUGUCCAAAAUGCACGCUAACUAUUUUAUCCCUCAUUCCCACGAACGAAGCCAUGAUUAGUUUUCUUUCUGCCAAAUACGCAGGGAGCCACAUCAGUGCCCAAGUAGAGCCGAAAGAAAAGGCGUUCUUUCCUGAGAGCCUCCUCUGAGCCAGGCCCCGGGCUCACACCGCUGUCACCAAGAAGCCCAUCUGAUCCUCAGUGGCCUUUGAG
rnacentral:lncRNA from 1 species